rnacentral:lncRNA from 1 species
UACAGUAUCAGAACCCUUCAUUUGCCAAACAUGCAUAUCUAUCACUUGCCAAACAGGCAUAACAUUAUCAUUUGCCAAACAAGCAUAUAUAUCAUUUGCCAAACGGGCAUAUCCGUAUCAAUUGCCAAACAAGCAUAUAGUGACCACUACACACAAAACGUUGAACAUAAUCUUUCUAAACUAUAGGUACAUAUAUCUCAAAAUCAUCUUCAUAGUAUAAAGUCAUCCAUCAUCUAUACUAUAAAGAAGUGUGUGAAAACAUGUUCUAAAUAGUAUAUCGGCAUCCAUCAGAUAUCCUACAAAGAACAUGGUUUUGAUAGAAAAUAUGGUAUUCCAAAAUAAGCUCAGUAUAACAUGAUAAUCAAU